ACUAGCACAAGAAAUCAGGAACCAAACAACAGCAUGAUCUAUAUGUUGAAAAUAAACACAAACUGAUUACCAAGGAAAAUUUUCUGAGAUAACAUGGGUGGCAUUAUUUUUAAAUGACUGAACAUGCAUAAGCACACUAUCAGGAAUUGGCUCCACAAUUAGCUAAGCAUACAGCAAGUUAGGCAUCCCUAUGAGUCUUGUAGGAACAAUUCAACCACAUUUCAUGACCAAGCAUAUUUCUAACAUGACGAACAAGUUUAGGGAAACAACAGUGCUAGUCUCAUGUAACUGGGUGGUAUGACUAUUUAACUACGGAUUUCAAACACGCAUCUAGACUAACACAAAUGAUUUUAUAGCUUUUCCCUAGUAACAUGCAACACCUUCGGAAUUGGUUUUUAGGGCAUCAGAUGGUGGAUGGAUGUAACUAGUAGUUCUAGACAUACACAAUGCAUAAGUAGCAAGUUGGGAUAUCAAUUUCAGGUGCAUUCUUUAUGAGAACUACAAGUUUAAUGUUUCUUGAUUAAAUUGGACUAUCAAAACUAGUAGCUUUGAAAGGCAUGUAAAUAAAAGGAAACAGUACGAAUCAAUCGUUAACAAAACAAUUUAGCUAGAUCCAAUACAACUCACACAAGCACAAUGAGAGAAACCAUUUUGCACAAUAAGCUAAACAAGCACGAAUUUGCAAGAUUAAAAUCUUUUGUGGAGAACUAAACAUGAAAUAAAUGGCACUAGCAAGAGAUGGCACUACCAAGUCAUGAGAGUUGGAUUCACAUAAAAAUCAAUUUUUAAUGUAGAGAUAUAGAGUAAACAAGAUAAACUGCCAUUAAACAAAUUAAAUCUAAAAAGGUUUGUAAAUCAACCAUACAAGUAUCAUCAUCACUUUUCCUAGAUCCUAUGUGGAAAACAAAGUUUAAUUGAAGUGGUUUCAUCAUUUUAUCACUUUUCCAGUAUUUAUCAUGCAAUCAGCAAUAUUAACAUAGCAAACAAGCAUUUAAAUCUAAAACAGUAGGAACAACAAGGAUUCUACUAACACAAGUUAUAUAUCUGAAACAUGCAUGUUACAAGGAAGCUAACAAAAGUGGUUUUACAAUUUUUAGUGCACUAGGUGAUCUAUAAAGCAUUUAAUGGCUUUCACACAAAAUAAAUCAUAGCACAAAGUAUAAAACAGCAACAUCCACAAAUCAUUUUUGAAAUAAACUAGACACCACAAGGAAACCAACAAAAUAAGAAUCACAUUUUUAGCAUUUUUCUAGAAGUUUCUAUGUAUUUUCUUGCAACAUUUUAAAACCACCAAUUAAAACAAAACCGAGCCAACUUGCAAGCUACCCCCUGAAAAUAAAUUUUCUUUCUCAGAUCCGCCCUUCUCUUAACACUCUACCCCCUGCGUUUCGCGCUCAAGUCCCUGGGAAGAAUCCCACCUCACACAUAAAACCUGAAACUUUCCCCAUAACCCCCUUACCUUCUAUUCCUCUCGCGAACGGGUCCUUCUUCAACCUCCAGAACAGAUCACGCACAGGCAUGGCAGUUCACGCAUGGGCACACACAGGCCGGUCGGGAACAAGGGGAGGACGGCGCUGCGACACUAGGGGGAGGCAGUGGCACCAUGCCCAGGCCAGGGGGCCUCCCUG
rnacentral:lncRNA from 1 species